CCUACGGGUGGCUGCAGUGGGGAAUAUUGCACAAUGGGCGCAAGCCUGAUGCAGCCAUGCCGCGUGUGUGAAGAAGGCCUUCGGGUUGUAAAGCACUUUCAGCGGGGAGGAAGGCGGUGAGGUUAAUAACCUCAUCGAUUGACGUUACCCGCAGAAGAAGCACCGGCUAACUCCGUGCCAGCAGCCGCGGUAAUACGGAGGGUGCAAGCGUUAAUCGGAAUUACUGGGCGUAAAGCGCACGCAGGCGGUCUGUCAAGUCGGAUGUGACAUCCCCGGGCUCAACCUGGGAACUGCAUUCGAAACUGGCAGGCUAGAGUCUUGUAGAGGGGGGUAGAAUUCCAGGUGUAGCGGUGAAAUGCGUAGAGAUCUGGAGGAAUACCGGUGGCGAAGGCGGCCCCCUGGACAAAGACUGACGCUCAGGUGCGAAAGCGUGGGGAGCAAACAGGAUUAGAUACCCGGGUAGUC
rnacentral:rRNA from 1 species